rnacentral:rRNA from 1 species
UCGACCCCUAAGGCGAGGCUGAAAAGCGUAGUCGAUGGGAAACAGGUUAAUAUUCCUGUACUUGGUGUUACUGCGAAGGGGGGACGGAGAAGGCUAGGCUAGCCGGGCGACGGUUGUCCCGGUUUAAGCGUGUAGGGGGUGUGACCUGGUAAAUCCGGUUGCAUACUAACCCUGAGGCGUGAUGACGAUGCACUACGGUGCAGAAGUAGUUGAUGCCCUGCUUCCAGGAAAAUCCUCUAAGCUCCAGGUAACAUUAAAUCGUACCCCAAACCGACACAGGUGGUCAGGUAGAGAAUACCAAGGCGCUUGAGAGAACUCGGGUGAAGGAACUAGGCAAAAUGGUGCCGUAACUUCGGGAGAAGGCACGCUGGCAUGUAGGUGAAGUCCCUUGCGGAUGGAGCUGAAGCCAGUCGAAGAUACCAGCUGGCUGCAACUGUUUAAUAAAAACACAGCACUGUGCAAACACGAAAGUGGACGUAUACGGUGUGACGCCUGCCCGGUGCUGGAAGGUUAAUUGAUGGGGUCAGCCGCAAGGCGAAGCUCUUGAUCGAAGCCCCAGUAAACGGCGGCCGUAACUAUAACGGUCCUAAGGUAGCGAAAUUCCUUGUCGGGUAAGUUCCGACCUGCACGAAUGGCGUAAUGAUGGCCAGGCUGUCUCCACCCGAGACUCAGUGAAAUUGAACUCGCUGUGAAGAUGCAGUGUACCCGCGGCAAGACGGAAAGACCCCGUGAACCUUUACUAUAGCUUGACACUGAACAUUGAGCCUUGAUGUGUAGGAUAGGUGGGAGGCUUUGAAGCGUGGACGCCAGUCUGCGUGGAGCCAUCCUUGAAAUACCACCCUUUAAUGU